rnacentral:rRNA from 1 species
GUGUCAGCAGCCGCGGUAAUACGUAGGGGGCAAGCGUUGUCCGGAUUUAUUGGGCGUAAAGAGCUCGUAGGCGGUUCGGUAAGUCGGCUGUGAAAUCUCCACGCUCAACGUGGAGGGGUCAGUCGAAACUGCCGUGACUCGAGUCCGGUAGAGGAGUGUGGAAUUCCCGGUGUAGCGGUGAAAUGCGCAGAGAUCGGGAGGAACACCCGUAGCGAAGGCGGCACUCUGGGCCGGUACUGACGCUGAGGAGCGAAAGCGUGGGGAGCAAACAGGAUUAGAAACCCCCGUAGUCC